GGAGAAAGAAGUGACUGGGGCUUGGGCAGGAUUCGGGCAGGACCUGGUGGAAGACACUCCUCCCUCCCGGGUGCCCUCUAGUGGGGACCUCUCACCCUGGCGAAAUGGACCUGUGCUGCCUGGGCUCAAUCCAUUAGGGACCAGGGACCAGCUGGGUUCUCCCGGUGCCCCCAGCCCACCGCUGCUCCCCAUCUGUAGCUCCCCUACCCCCUCCGCAGGCUCUGUCUCAUCAGGUCUUGCUGGACAAGUGGCUGUGGGGAAGCAUCAGGCAAGAGGAACAUGCUUAGGUGCCCAGGGCGCCGCUGCAGCCUCCUGGGGACCCUGUCCGUGAGGACGUGUCUCCCCCUUUUCCAGAGGACAGCGAGGCUAGAGGGUCCGCAGGCACCCCGUCUGGGUGCACUCAUGCACAUGAUCACCUGGCACCCGGUGUAGCAGCCCCCUUCUGAACACUCGCCUGAGGGACCCUCUUGCAGGCUCCACCCUGUGGCCUUCAGCCCCUGAGCUGGGUCAGAUCCCAGCACGCCCCAGGGCUAAAGAGCAAGGUUGACCUUGGAGGAAAUAGCUUCCACUCCAAAAGGAAGUCAAAUGCUGCCAAUUUCCAUCGGUGGGAAACCAGGUGGAUGACGCCACCGCCUUGGGCCGGAUUUACAGGGAUGAAGUCGGCGGGCCGUGCACAGAAGCAUCCCUCGAACUAGGUGACAGGAAAACCCGAAGUCUGGGGACAGGACAGUGAGCCUCUAGGUGUGAAAUAUGUAACUGAGCAUUCCAAGAGAAAUGCGGACGUUACUGCCUCACAGUUUGUUCUUUCAAUUUGCUGACAACCCUAAUAAAUUAUAAAGUUUCCUUUA